rnacentral:rRNA from 1 species
AUGAAGAUAGUGGCCUGGAAUUGUCAUGGUUUGGGCAAUCACAAAGCAGUUCGAGGGAUUUUGGACGUCCAAAGGCGUGAGAAUCCAGAUGUUUUAUUUCUGUCUGAAACCAAGUUGGAUGAGAAAAGAAUGAAAAUAAUUUGUUGGUUACUGGAUAUGCCCAAUAUGGCGAUUCACAGCAGCAACGGAAAGAGUGGUGGCCUAGCUCUAUUCUGGAAGCGCGAUGUGGAUGUCUCGGUCUGUGAUGUUAAGCGCUUAUAUAUUGAUGCUUAUAUUCGAGAUGAUGGGAAGGUAUGGAGGUUUACAGGAAUCUAUGGCCAUCCAAAGAAAAAGGAUAUGACCUGGCGUGCUCUACGGAAUUUGAAACAUCAAGGUUCUGGACCCUGGCUUUGCAUAGGUGAUUUCAAUGAAAUUCUAUUUCAGCAUGAGAAGUUUGGUGGUCAACUUAAUCCUAGUGUACAAAUGGAUCGGUUCAGGGAAGUGCUAGAAUUCUGUGAGCUUGAAGAUCUUGGUUUCAUGGGAGAUGUUUUUACCUGGCGAAACCAUAGUCACAGGUAUGACCGAUACAUCAAGGAAAGGCUGGAUAGGGCUGUUGGCAAUCGUGAAUGGCGUACCAUAUAUCCGGCUUUCAAAGUAAUCAAUGGCGAACCUCGCCACUCAGACCACCGCCCGGUGAUUCUUGACUCUAGUUGUGAACCUGUGUUCGAGCCACCAAGUGACCCAACCUUUCGAUUUGAAGCUAUGUGGUUGCAAGAAGAAGGUUGCGCUCAAGUGGUACAAGAGUCUUGGAAUAAUGCCUUUAUGAACGGUGCCUUAUGUGCAUCGGAUGGUGUUAGACAGGUUGCAGAUUCACUUCGAAACUGGAGCACAAAUGUCUUGGGAGAUCUAGAGAAGAGGAUCAAAAAACUAAAAAAAGAUCUUAGAUGUUGCCUACGUGGUCCAACUAGUGAACAAUCUGUACAUCGUGAGCAUGUGCUUCGGUUCAAACUUGAAAGACUGGAAGAUCAGAGGGACACCUAUUGGAAACAAAGAGCUCACAUAGAUUGGUUGAAAAAGGGUGACCGUAAUACACAAUUUUUCCACAACUGUUGUACAGAGAGGAAAAGCAGAAACAAAAUCAUUAAACUGUGUGAUGACCAUGGGAAUUCUAUUGUAGGUCAAGGGGCUUUAAAAGAGCACAUUCAUAAUUUCUAUAAAUCUCUCUUCACUGCACAGCCUGCUACAAACUUGGCUGAUUUGCUCCAACAUGUGCAACCACGGGUUUCGGACUAUAUGAAUGCUUCCCUCUGUUCUCCCUUCACUGAAAAUGAAAUCUUUGAAGCUUUGCAAAAUAUCGGGGACCUAAAAGCUCCAGGCCCAGACGGGAUGCCAGCAAUUUUUUAUAAGAGAUUCUGGGAUUUGGUUGGUGAGAGGGUCAGAUGUGAGGUAUUCGCAGUUCUAAAUGGAGGCCCAAUCCCAGAGGAAUGGAACAGAACUACAGUUGUGCUAAUUCCAAAGAGUAAAAAUCCAGAAAGGAUUAAGGAUUUCAGACCAAUCAGUCUCUGCAAUGUGCUAUACAAAAUUAUUUCCAAGGUUCUUACUAGUAGAAUGAAAGUCUUUAUUGGAGACAUUAUCUCGCAAAAUCAAAGUGCCUUCAUUCCAGGUCGUUUGAUCACAGACAAUGUCCUGGUGGCUUACGAGAUGUCUCACUAUAUAAGAAACAAAAGGAAGGGACAGGAUGCUUUCAUGGCAAUCAAACUUGAUAUGAGUAAAGCAUAUGAUAGGGUAGAAUGGAAUUUUCUGGAAGCAAUGUUGAUCAAGCUUGGCUUCCAUAAUAAGUGGGUUUCUCUCUUGAUGAAGUGUGUUCGAUCAGUGACUUACAGAGUUAAAGUGAAUGGUGAUCUGACAGAGGUGAUAUACCCCCAACGGGGUCUGAGACAAGGGGACCCACUUUCCCCCUAUCUAUUUCUAAUCUGUGCUGAAGGAUUUUCCUCCUUACUUCAUACUGCUGAGGAUCAAGGGUUGAUUGAAGGCAUUCAGAUUUGUCCAGGGGCACCAAGUGUGUCACACUUGCUUUUUGCGGACGACUCCCUUCUCCUCCUAAAGGCUGAUUGUGACAAUGCUUCAGAACUUCAACGUAUCCUUGACCGAUAUGAGGAAUGCUCAGGACAAAGUAUCAACAGGGAUAAGAGCAGUGUGCUUUUCAGCCCAAAUUGUAAUAAUAUGCAGAAGAUAGAAAUUAUGGAUUAUUUGCAUAUUUCCUGUGAGGGACAAAAUGAGAGGUACCUAGGGCUCCCAGUUCAUAUAGGCAAGUCUAAGAAAAGAGUCUUCCAAUAUCUGAAAGGGAAAAUUUGGGCAAGAAUCCAAGGUUGGAAAGAGAGAACACUUUCCAAAGCCGGAAAAGAAAUUCUUAUUAAGGCGGUGGCUCAGGCGAUCCCAACUUAUGCUAUGUCAUGCUUUGAUAUCACUAAAGGGAUUUGCGAGGAGAUCUCUUCCAUGAUAUGUCGUUUUUGGUGGAGUCAAACGGAUGAAGAAAAUAAAUUACAUUGGGUUGCCUGGGACAAAUUAUCUAAGCCAAAGAAGGAUGGAGGUUUAGGUUUCAGAGAUCUCUAUUCCUUUAAUAUUGCUAUGCUAGCAAAGCAAGCCUGGAGGAUCCUUCUAAAUCCAGAGUCCCUAUGCGCUCAACUACUCAAGGCGAGAUACUUUCCACACGAGGAUUUCUUGAAGGUCAUGCCAAAAAAGGGUAUCUCUUACACUUGGAGGAGUAUUCUUAAAGGUCGCGAUCUUAUCAAACAAGGCUUGAUCUGGCGUAUAGGUGAUGGCCAAAAAGUUAAUAUCUGGGAAGAUCCAUGGGUACCAAGAGGGAGUACUAGAAGACCUAGUACAGUUAGAGGCCAAAUUUUACUUCAGAAGGUUUGUGAUCUGAUCGACCCUAUUUCUGGACAGUGGGACCAAGAUCUUGUUCAACAAGUAUUUAAUGAUGAUGAUGUCCCACACAUUCUGAGUAUUCCUAUUAAGGAGGGAUUUGAUGAUCUUCCAGCCUGGCAUCCCGACCCGAAAGAUAACUUUUCGGUUCGUUCAGCUUACAAACUCAAACUUCAGUUGGACGAUGUUGCUGCAGGUCAAACAUCAACUUCCACUGUAGCAGAUCCGACAACAAAUGCAACAAAGGUUUGGACCAAGCUUUGGAGUUUGAAAAUGCCUAGGAAAAUCAUCAUGUUCCUUUGGAGAUUGAGUCACAACACCCUUCCUGUCCGGUUAAAUCUUAAACGUCGUGGAAUUGACCUGGAUACCAUCUGUCCGAUGUGCAAUCGCCUUGACGAGGAUGGUGGCCAUGCCUUCCUCAAAUGUAAAUUUGCAAAGGCUCUUUGGCGGGAAGCUAAACAGGAGCAUGUAAGGGGUUUGCUUCUCAGUUGUACUGAUGCAAAACAAUCAGUCGAAACUCUACUAAGCCUGGAGAAUGCGACAUCCAUGUUCUGCAUUUGUUUGAUGUGGAAUUUGUGGAAUGCUAGAAAUGCAGUUAAUAAUGGUGAUAGGUGUCCGUCAGCAGCGGCUAUCGUUUCCUCUACUGCUAUACAAGUUACAGAAUUUUCUGAACAUCUUCAUAUACCUUCAUGUUCAGUUAUUGCCCCUAAUGAGCGCUGGUCUAAGCCUCCUGACAACUUCCUAAAGAUAAACAUUGAUGGUUCGUUCCUAAAAGAUAACAGUACAGGAGGUUGGGGUUUUUGUGUUAGGGAUGCUUCUGGAGAUGUCGUCGGUGCUGGCAUGGGCCAAAUCCACUUCCUGUCGGAUGCUUUGCAUGCAGAGUCGAUAGCUUGUCUGAAGGCGAUUGAGUUUGCUACUGAAGUUGGGUUUGGGCGUAUCAUCAUUGAAACAGACUCCACAGUGCUAGCCACAGCUCUUCUUUCCAAUGAAUUGGAUACUGCUCGUAUCGGAAUUCUCUUUCGGGAGGCAAAAUUUCUUCUUUUUACUAGCUUUAUUGAGUUUAAAGUGCAUGUGUGUAAGCGUGCCUGUAACUCAGUGGCACAUGUUCUGGCUACCCAUGGUGCCCAUAUGUCCCAGGGAGGUACCAUGUAUUGGCAUGACGCUGUUCCUGACAUUGUAUCUUCUGUGGUGGCUAGCGAUCUAGCUGCUUCUGCUUCUGUAUGUUAA